AUUAUACUCCCUCCGUCCCAAAAUUCUCGUCUUAGAUUUGUCUAGAUACGGAUGUACCUACUACUAAAACUAAAACGUGACUUGAUACAUCCGUAUUUGGACAAAUCUAAGACAAGAAUUUUGGGACGGAGGGAGUACAUC
rfam:Triticum aestivum genome assembly, contig: Triticum_aestivum_CS42_TGACv1_scaffold_129599_2BL